rnacentral:rRNA from 1 species
CCUACGGGUGGCAGCAGUGAGGAAUAUUGGUCAAUGGACGAGAGUCUGAACCAGCCAAGUAGCGUGAAGGAUGACUGCCCUAUGGGUUGUAAACUUCUUUUAUAUGGGAAUAAAAUGUUCCACGUGUGGGAUUUUGUAUGUACCAUAUGAAUAAGGAUCGGCUAACUCCGUGCCAGCAGCCGCGGUAAUACGGAGGAUCCGAGCGUUAUCCGGAUUUAUUGGGUUUAAAGGGAGCGUAGGUGGAUUGUUAAGUCAGUUGUGAAAGUUUGCGGCUCAACCGUAAAAUUGCAGUUGAAACUGGCAGUCUUGAGUACAGUAGAGGUGGGCUGAAUUCGUGGUGUAGCGGUGGAAUGCUUAGAUAUCACGAAGAACUCCGAUUGCGAAGGCAGCUCACUGGACUGCAACUGACACUGAGGCUCGAAAGUGUGGGUAUCAAACAGGAUUAGAUACCCCGUGUAGUC